CGUCAUUUGUACCCUCAAGCUUUGCUUGGUGUUGGGUGUUUGUCCACUCCUUGUUGUUUGGACUCGCCUUAAAACAAUUGGCAGCCAGUGUUUGGUAUUGAAGCGCAGCACAAUUUGCGAUUCUGGCCUAACAACACUUGCGUCCACAAGUCUUUUUAACGCUUGACCUCGGAUCAGGUAGGGAUACCCGCUGAACUUAA
rnacentral:misc_RNA from 1 species